UACGAAGGGGGCUAGCGUUGCUCGGAAUCACUGGGCGUAAAGGGUGCGUAGGCGGGGCUUUAAGUCAGGGGUGAAAUCCUGGAGCUCAACUCCAGAACUGCCUUUGAUACUGAAGAUCUUGAGUUCGGGAGAGGUGAGUGGAACUGCGAGUGUAGAGGUGAAAUUCGUAGGUAUUCGCAAGAACACCAGUGGCGAAGGCGGCUCACUGGCCCGAUACUGACGCUGAGGCACGAAAGCGUGGGGAGCAAACAGG
rnacentral:rRNA from 1 species